CCUACGGGUGGCAGCAGUGGGGAAUAUUGCGCAAUGGGCGAAAGCCUGACGCAGCGACGCCGCGUGAGGGAUGAAGGUCUUCGGAUCGUAAACCUCUGUCAGCAGGGAAGAACGGUCACUGUGCUAAUCAGCAGUGAAUUGACGGUACCUGCAAAGGCAGCACCGGCUAACUCCGUGCCAGCAGCCGCGGUAAUACGGAGGGUGCGAGCGUUAAUCGGAAUUACUGGGCGUAAAGCGCUCGUAGGCGGUAUGUCAAGUCAAGGGUGAAGUCCCCGCGCUCAACGUGGGAACUGCCUUUGAAACUGGCAAACUGGAGUGUAGGAGAGGAUAGUGGAAUUCCAGGUGUAGCAGUGAAAUCCGUAGAUAUCUGGAAGAACAUCAGUGGCGAAGGCGACUAGCUGGAACAUAACUGACGCUGAGGAGCGAAAGCGUGGGUAGCAAACAGGAUUAGAUACCCUAGUAGUC
rnacentral:rRNA from 1 species